rnacentral:misc_RNA from 1 species
AAGUCGUAACAAGGUUUCCGUAGGUGAACCUGCGGAAGGAUCAUUAACAGUUUAUAUGUUUAUAUGUUGUUGUUGUUGUGAUGUGUGUAACACCCUGUGUGACAAUUGCCAUUCUUGGCAAUGUCAUAUAUCUUUUUUUUUAACCAUAUGUUUACCUGUUAUUCUUAUAUACCAUAUACCAUAUAUAUCGAAAACUGCCAGCAAUGGAUCACUCGGUUCUU